rnacentral:rRNA from 1 species
AGUGAACGCUGGCGGUAGGCCUAACACAUGCAAGUCGAACGGCAGCACAGUAAGAGCUUGCUCUUACGGGUGGCGAGUGGCGGACGGGUGAGGAAUACAUCGGAAUCUACUUUUUCGUGGGGGAUAACGUAGGGAAACUUACGCUAAUACCGCAUACGACCUACGGGUGAAAGCAGGGGAUCUUCGGACCUUGCGCGAUUGAAUGAGCCGAUGUCGGAUUAGCUAGUUGGCGGGGUAAAGGCCCACCAAGGCGACGAUCCGUAGCUGGUCUGAGAGGAUGAUCAGCCACACUGGAACUGAGACACGGUCCAGACUCCUACGGGAGGCAGCAGUGGGGAAUAUUGGACAAUGGGCGCAGGCCUGAUCCAGCCAUACCGCGUGGGUGAGGAAGGCCUUCGGGUUGUAAAGCCCUUUUGUUGGGAAAGAAAAGCAGCAGGUUAAUACCCCGCUGUUCUGACGGUACCCAAAGAAUAAGCACCGGCUAACUUCGUG